GAGUAAGUUCGGGCUGCGUGAAUAAAUAAUAAAAAUUCGUGGUAGUGAUAAGAGGAUUAUAUUGAUCAGCGUUAAAAGGAAAAAAAUUAUCGAUCAAUGUCAUUCGUUGGAGAAUAAAUAACGGAAUGUUCACAGGGUGUCCCGUCAGAAACGAGCAUUUUUCGAACUCAAGUCGAAGACUUUCAAUUUUUGCAAUUUUUUCCCUACACGCGAUAACCGAGCAAAAAUCACCGAUGAGCUAUUUUCAAGGGCGCUCCCUGCCGGAGCGACUGGAAGUAGGGCAAAAAUGUUUGGGACCGAUUCCGAGCAAACGUCCUGCAAAAAUGUUCAGUGGUUAGGUCUGAGAGCGUCGCGAAAAACAAUCUAGUACGCUCGAGUGCCACCAGGGACUUUGUUACGAGUUAUACGAGGGAUUUCUACAAAAUUGUUUGUAAUAAAUUCGUCUUCGCACUGGAAUUUACUAAAAUGACCAUCGACAACGGAACACCCUGUGUAUUUGCAGAGAAAUAUAGCGAAUAAAUAAAGAAAAAAAUAAAAACACCAACGGAGAAACGACACAUGUUCACGGAUAACAUUUACGAAGUAUUUAACCUUGACAAAAACGUGAUAUUUAUUUACGAAGAGGAAAACGUCGCAGGCCACAGUAGGCAGCACGUGUUUUACAAUCUACACGUACAUCGAGAUCCGAUGUGUGUCAAGUGGACGAAGAACACGUUUUCACGAUUGUCACGAAAAAUGUUCGCAGCUAUCCGAACUUUCGAUGGUUAGCCCUCAGGUUAAUCAAUUAGGCGGAUUUUUGUUGGGAGGAUAGUACACAAGAUCCACGAUGCAUCAAGAUGUCAACGUAUUUGGUGCCGCCCUCGUUGGCCUCUCUCGGUCUCGAGGACGCAGCUUCCGGUCGGCUUAAUUGGAGCACUCCUCGUCGAUGUGCAAUUAAACGUCGAAGACGCUUCCCGGAGUCGCUGUCGGUCGGAUUCCAGCGCAAACUGUUCCAUCAAUGUAUGACCGAUGAAUAAAAAACGCCUGUCGAAUA